AUGGAAAUAUUAUAAUCUAUUAGAUUAUUUAUUCUAUAUACCCCCACAGAUCAUUCCUUACUUGAAAUAGUUUCAUCAAUAUUAAUAACUGAAUCUCCACUUUCUUUCACUUCAACCCUGGUUGGAGAUGUAUGCAAAUUUUGAACAAAAUCCCAGACAUUAAGGGAACAAAAGUGAUCGAUUUAGUGUGGAAUGUAUUUAUUAUCAAAUAUUAUUAUCAAGUUUUAAUGUAAAAGUAUUCACAAUUUGAAUACUGUGUUUUAAAAGACAUACAUGAACAAGAAUCCGGACAGAAUAAUCAGAAUCGAAAUCCCUUGGGAUGGACUCUAUGGUUUUAGGUUUUGUUUUACAAAACCAUCUUACAAACCUAUUACAAAACCACCCGAUGUUUGAUCCUUGUAGUAAAUAAUAAAACGUCACGAUUAAUAGAGUU